GAUGAACGCUGGCGGCGUGCCUAAUACAUGCAAGUCGAGCGAACAGACGAGGAGCUUGCUCCUCUGACGUUAGCGGCGGACGGGUGAGUAACACGUGGAUAACCUACCUAUAAGACUGGGAUAACUUCGGGAAACCGGGGCUAAUACCGGAUAAUAUAUUGAACCGCAUGGUUCAAUAGUGAAAGACGGUUUUGCUGUCACUUAUAGAUGGAUCCGCGCCGCAUUAGCUAGUUGGUAAGGUAAUGGCUUACCAAGGCAACGAUGCGUAGCCGACCUGAGAGGGUGAUCGGCCACACUGGAACUGAGACACGGUCCAGACUCCUACGGGAGGCAGCAGUAGGGAAUCUUCCGCAAAGGGCGAAAGCCUGACGGAGCAACGCCGCGUGAGUGAUGAAGGUCUUCGGAUCGUAAAACUCUGUUAUUAGGGAAGAACAAAUGUGUAAGUAACUAUGCACGUCUUGACGGUACCUAAUCAGAAAGCCACGGCUAACUACGUG
rnacentral:rRNA from 1 species